ensembl:lncRNA
CUUUGAUAAUGAAUCAUCAUAUUAGAAUGAUUUCUAAAGGAUCAUGUGAUAAUGAUCCUAAAAAUUCAGCUUUGCAUCACAGAAAUAAAUGAUAAUUUAAAGUAUAAUAAAUUUAAAAACAAUUAUUUUAAAUUGUAAUAAUAUAUCGCAAUAUUACUGUUUUUUCUGUAUUUUUGAUCAAAUAAAUGCAGGCUUGAUGAGCAGAAGAGACUUCUUUCAAAAACAUUAAAAAUAGUAAUGUUUCCAAACUUUUGGUCUGUACUGUAUGUGUGUGUGUGAUUAUUAAUUAUGUAUUAUUUAAGAUAUAAUUUAGUAUUAUUGUUAUUAUUAUAAUUAUCUGCUAUAACUUGUUUAUUUGAUUUUGUUGAAUUUGCAAAUGUGUUGGUACAAAAGUAAUAUUUUAUCCUAAAAUGAAAAGCAUGUCAUAUUACGAAUUUUUAAUUAUUUAUCGUCUAAACAAUCAUAAUAUUUUUCUGUUUUUCGGUGAAGCAUUAAAUAAGACAUUAGGCAGUAUGUGCGAGGUUCUCUUUUCCAUAGGAAAGGAUGUUAAAUGUUGAUUUAUUCUGCCAAAAAAGUCCCAUCAAUUAUGUCCGGCAUCACUAGAAUCAUAUUAGCAGAGGUGGACGGCUCUUGUUUGCUGAAAAUACCUUUGGCCCGUCCAGAAAACUAAGUUAUUUAUAGCUGACCUGAUGAGGAGCUAUUUACAGUGUUUAUCCAGCGCGAGACGGCUGAAGAAUUUAAGUGCUGUCUUUAUGAAGUGCUGCACCAGGCCGUCCUGUGACAGGAAGAGCUACCAAUCAUGGAAGUGUAAACAUGGGCCGUAACCCCGUGGCGGGGUCGAACUCUGUGCCGGGACGUGGGCACAUCUCCAGGCUGGAAAAAGUAAAUACUCCAGGGGUGGUUCUCGGCUUUGCUGACUUUUUCACAAGGUGCAAAAACCAGAGCGUGGUCGGCUGUCUUUGGCAUCCCAAGCUGAAUCAGAUCAUGGUUGGGACGGGGAACGGCCUGGUGAAGGUCUACUACGACCCGGUCAAGACUCAGAGCUCACGCUCUGCCCAUGUUUCGUGAGGCCCGGCAGCGCAGCACAGGAAGCAGCUGGAGAAGUACCGACUGGAUCCGGUCAGAUCCCACAAACCCGAGCCGCCCGUGUCCGGACCAGGUGACCUGAACCUCACACACUUCUACAGCACUAGAGCCACAAAUCCCUCCUUCUUUAGAGUGAGAACGACCACACUGUUAGAUAUAAGUGUGUUUUGUAAA